rnacentral:rRNA from 1 species
GUGUCAGCCGCCGCGGUAAGACGAACCGUGCGAACGUUGUUCGGAAUCACUGGGCUUAAAGGGCGCGUAGGCGGCUCGCUUGGUCCGUGGGUGAAAUCGUCCGGCUUAACCGGACAACUGCCCUGGAUACCGGCGGGCUUGAGGGAGGUAGGGGCACGCGGAACUUCCGGUGGAGCGGUGAAAUGCGUUGAUAUCGGAAGGAACGCCGGUGGCGAAAGCGGCGUGCUGGCCCUUCUCUGACGCUGAGGCGCGAAAGCCAGGGGAGCGAACGGGAUUAGAAACCCUAGUAGUCC